rnacentral:rRNA from 1 species
UACGUAGGGCGCAAGCGUUUGUCCGGAAUUAUUGGGCGUAAAGAGCUCGUAGGCGGUUUGUCGCGUCUGCUGUGAAAACCUGAGGCUCAACCUCGGGCUUGCAGUGGGUACGGGCAGACUAGAGUGCGGUAGGGGUGACUGGAAUUCCUGGUGUAGCGGUGGAAUGCGCAGAUAUCAGGAGGAACACCGAUGGCGAAGGCAGGUCACUGGGCCGCAACUGACGCUGGAGGAGCGGAAAAGCAUGGGGAGCGAACAGG